rnacentral:rRNA from 1 species
UACAGAGGGUGCGAGCGUUAAUCGGAUUUACUGGGCGUAAAGGGCGCGUAGGCGGUUUAAUUAGGUGUGAUGUGAAAGCCCUGGGACUUAACCCUGGGAAGUGGCAUCGCAAACGAUUGAACUGGAGUAGAUGGAGAGGGUGGCGGAAUUCCGGUGUAGCGGUGAAAUGCGUAGAGAUCGGAAGGAACGUCGAUGGCGAAGGCAGCCACCUGGCAUCAUACUGACGCUGGAGGCGACGAAAGCGUGGGGAGCGAACAGG